rnacentral:rRNA from 1 species
GACGAACGCUGGCGGCGUGCCUAAUACAUGCAAGUUGAGCGCUGAAGGUUGGUACUUGUACCAACUGGAUGAGCAGCGAACGGGUGAGUAACGCGUGGGGAAUCUGCCUUUGAGCGGGGGACAACAUUUGGAAACGAAUGCUAAUACCGCAUAAAAACUUUAAACACAAGUUUUAAGUUUGAAAGAUGCAAUUGCAUCACUCAAAGAUGAUCCCGCGUUGUAUUAGCUAGUUGGUGAGGUAAAGGCUCACCAAGGCGAUGAUACAUAGCCGACCUGAGAGGGUGAUCGGCCACAUUGGGACUGAGACACGGCCCAAACUCCUACGGGAGGCAGCAGUAGGGAAUCUUCGGCAAUGGACGAAAGUCUGACCGAGAAACGCCGCGUGAGUGAAGAAGGUUGUCGGAUCGUAAAACUCUGUUGGUAGGGAAGAACGUUGGUGAGAGUGGAAAGCUCAUCAAGUGACGGUAACUACCCAGAAAGGGACGGCUAACUACGUG